GUUCUUGAUUUGGCAGGAUAGAUACUAAAAUUGGAAUGAUACAGAGAAGAUUAGCGUGGUCCCUGUUCAAGAUGACAUGCAAAUCUGUGACACGCUCCAUAUUUUU
rnacentral:snRNA from 1 species